rnacentral:rRNA from 1 species
GAUUAACGCUGGCGGCGUGCAUAACACAUGCAAGUCGAACGAUGAAACUCAUUAGAUUUCUUCGGAAUGAAAAUGAAUGGAUUAGUGGCGAACGGGUGAGUAACGCGUGAGUAACCUGCCUUACACAAGGGGAUAGCCUCUGGAAACGGAGAAUAAUACCCUAUGAAACCAGACAAUCGCAUGAUAAUCUGGUCAAAAUGUUUAGUGGUGUAAGAUGGACUUGCGUCUGAUUAGCUAGUUGGUGAGAUAAAAGCUCACCAAGGCAACGAUCAGUAGCCGGCUUGAGAGAGUGUACGGCCACAUUGGGACUGAGACACGGCCCAGACUCCUACAGGAGGCAGCAGUGGGGAAUUUUGCACAAUGGGGGAAACCCUGAUGCAGCGACGCCGCGUGAUUUAGAAGGCCUUCGGGUUGUAAAAAUCUUUUGUAUAGGAAGAAAAUGACAGUACUAUACGAAUAAGGUCCGGCUAAUUACGUG